ACUCCAUAAAACAUUGAGAAGCAGCGAGUGACGAGUCCAGUUCCAUUUAACCAGGGAGAUGUGAGGUCAAACUAGACCUGGAGGGCUGACAGACACUGUCCUGUUCCCCUGUGGCCCCCUAUUCCCCUGUGAGGUCAAACUAGACCUGGAGGGCUGACAGACACUGUCCUGUUCCCCUGUGGCCCCCUAUUCCCCGUGGGCCUCCUAUUCCCCUGUGAGGUCAAACUAGACCUGGAGGGCUGACAGACACUGUCCUGUUCCC